AAAAGCGCCACCGCGCGGUCAUGAAAGGACAGUGAGACUGAUGCUAGCUCCGGAAAUGGCCGCUAAGCCGUCCCGCAUUGUUGGAUUACAUGCGGCAAUUGUUUUGUUUAUGUGCUGGAGCAACGCGCGCACCUGCGUCGGAAUUAAAAAAGGGACGGGAAACCGAACUACUGAAUUGUUGGCCUCGCUGCGUACAUGGAUAAAGAUAUUCCUGUGAGAAAUACUUUGCUGAUCGUGGGAUGCUGCACGGACUUAAUUAAUGUGUGCUUAUUUAUGUGUAAAGACAACUUACUAAUAAAGUAUCGCGUUUGUUUAGCUGAAAA